rnacentral:lncRNA from 1 species
AGGAUGGCACAAGGGGGAGUAUGAGGGAAAAUAGGAACGGACACAGGUUUCGACUAGAGGGAACAGAAGAUAGAUUGGUAGAUCGCACUGUCGCCAGGCGACAGCAGGUUUAUGUGAUUGGGGACUCCUUACUGAGGAGGUUGGAUAGGCCUGUGACCAGGGCGGACCCAGAGAACAGAAGGGUGUGCUGUCUACCGGGCGCAAAGAUACGGGAUGUGGACCUGCGGUUGAAAAGGAUACUAAAAGGAGCAGGUAAGAACCCCUUGAUAAUCCUUCAUGUAGGAACGAAUGACACGGCUAGGUUCUCGUUAGAGAGAAUCAAGGGAGAUUAUGCCAGGCUGGGGAAGACGCUCAAGGAAAUCGAGGCUCAGAUCAUCUUUAGUGGGAUUCUGCCUGUUCCUAGAGAAGGGCAGCAAAGGGCUGAUAGGAUUGUGAGAAUAAAUAUCAGAGGGGUAGCCGUGUUAGUCUGAAUCUGUAAAAAGCAACAGAGGGUCCUGUGGCACCUUUGAGACUAACAGAAGUAUAGGGAGCAUAAGCUUUCGUGGGUAAGAACCUCACUUCUUCAGAUGCAAGAGAAUAAAUAGUUGGCUAAGGGAGUGGUGCUAUAAGGAGGGCUUUGGGAUGUAUGGCCACUGGGAGGCUUUCAGGGACAGACAGCUGUUCUCAAGGGAUGGACUUCACCUGAGUAGGGAAGGAAAUAGACUUCUGGGAGGGACGCUGGCUCAUCUCAUCAAACGAGCUUUAAACUAGGAAGUUGGGGGAGAUGGUUGGGAGAUGUACAGUUAAUCUCCACGCCAGAUUCCAACAUUGAAAAGGUGAGUGAAGAGAUAAGAAGAGAUAUAGCUGGGGGGAUGGAAUUGGACAUAAGAACGAGAGGGGGGAUGAACAGUAAGGGGUCCGUAACAAAUUGCAUAACUAAUGGGAGACAGGCUAAACGGCAUACAUUAGGAUGUUUAUACACCAAUGCGAGAAGCCUAGGUAACAAAAUGGAGGAAUUGGAGCUCCUGGUCCGAGAAAUGAAACCGGAUAUCGUAGGAAUAACUGAAACGUGGUGGAACGGCAGUCAUGACUGGAGUACAGGUAUGGAAGGGUAUGUGCUGUUUAGGAACGACCGGAACAAAGGUAAAGGUGAGGGGGUGGCAUUGUAUGUCAAUAAUGAGGUAAGCUGUAAACAAAUAAGAACUGAUGGAAUGGAUAAGACGGAGUCCGUCUGGGCAAUACUCACACUGGGUAAAAGAACUACUAGAGCCUCCCCUGGGAUAGUGCUUCGGGUGUGCUAUAGACCACCGGGAUCUACCCAGGAUAUGGAUAAAGGACUAUUUAAUGUGUUUAGGGAAGUAAAUACUAAUAGGAACUGUGUAAUUAUGGGGGACUUUAACUUCCCAGAUAUAGAUUGGGGAACAAAUGCUAGUAGCAAUAAUAGGGCUCAGAUGUUCCUAGAUGUAUUUGCUGAUCAAUUCCUUCAUCAAGUAGUAGCUGAACCGACGAGGGGGGAGGCCAUUUUGGAUUUGGUUUUGGUGAGUAGUGAGGACCUCGUUGAGGAAAUGGUUGUAGGGGACAACCUUGGCUCCAGUGAUCACGAGCUAAUUCGGUUUAAACUAAAUGGAAGGAUUAACAGAAUUAAAUCAAAGACUAGGGUUUACAAUUUUAAAAAGGCUAAUUUUAAUAAAUUAAGAGGACUGGUAAGGGAAGUGGAUUGGGCAAACAUAUUAAUGGAUCUAAAGGCAGAAGAUGCCUGGGAUUAUUUUAAGUUAAAGCUGCAGGAGCUGUCGGAGGCCUGUAUCCCAAAAAAGGGAAAACGGUUAGUAAGCAAGAGAUUUAGACCGAGCUGGAUGAGCGACCGUCUCAAAGGGGCAAUUAGGAAAAAACAGAAAGCGUACAAAGAGUGGAAGAGGAGAGGGAUCAGUAAGGAAACUUACCUUAUUGAGGUCAGAGCAUGUAGAGAUGGAGUGAGAAAGGCCAAAAGCCGUGUAGAGUUGGACCUUGCGAGGGGAAUUAAAAGCAAUAGUAAGAGGUUUUAUAGCCAUAUAAAUAGGAAGAAAGCAAAGAAAGAAGAAGUGGGACCGCUGAAGACUGUAGCUGGAGUAGAGAUUAAGGAUAAUCUAGGCAUGGCACAAUAUCUAAACGAAUAUUUUGCAUCGGUGUUCAAUGAGGCCAAUGAAGGGAUUAGGAAUAUUGGCAGCGUGACAGAGGGGGAUACAGGAGGGGGGAUUACCAUAUCCGAGGUAGAAACCAAACUUGAACACCUUAACGGGACUAAGUCGGGCGGACCGGAUGAUCUUCAUCCAAGAAUAUUGAAGGAACUGGCGCGAGAAAUAGCAGGCCCCUUAGCAAUAAUUUUUAAUGAAUCUUUAAACUCGGGGGUGGUACCGUUGGACUGGAGAAUAGCUAAUGUGGUUCCUAUUUUCAAGAAAGGGAAAAAAAGUGACCCGGGUAACUACAGGCCUGUCAGUUUAACAUCUGUAGUGUGUAAGGUCCUGGAGAAAAUUCUGAAGGAGAAAGUAUUAACUACUUUGAGGUCAAGUAUUAACUACCUUGAGGUCAAUGGCAAUUGCGACAAAUUACAACAUGGUUUUACCAAGGGUAGAUCGUGCCAAACCAAUCUGAUCUCCUUCUUUGAGAAAGUAACAGACUUAUUAGAUAAGGGAAAUGCGGUGGACCUAAUAUACCUCGANNNNNNNNNNNNNNNNNNNNNNNNNNNNNNNNNNNNN